GUGGGGAAUAUUGGACAAUGGGCGCAAGCCUGAUCCAGCCAUGCCGCGUGAGUGAUGAAGGCCCUAGGGUUGUAAAGCUCUUUCACCGGUGAAGAUAAUGACGGUAACCGGAGAAGAAGCCCCGGCUAACUUCGUGCCAGCAGCCGCGGUAAUACGAAGGGGGCUAGCGUUGUUCGGAAUUACUGGGCGUAAAGCGCACGUAGGCGGACAUUUAAGUCAGGGGUGAAAUCCCGGGGCUCAACCCCGGCACUGCCUUUGAUACUGGGUGUCUGGAGUAUGGAAGAGGUAAGUGGAAUUCCGAGUGUAGAGGUGAAAUUCGUAGAUAUUCGGAGGAACACCAGUGGCGAAGGCGGCUUACUGGUCCAUUACUGACGCUGAGGUGCGAAAGCGUGGGGAGCAAACAGGAUUAGAUACCCCUGUAGUCC
rnacentral:rRNA from 1 species